GAUGAACGCUGGCGGCGUGCCUAACACAUGCAAGUCGAACGAAGCACUUAAGCGGAUCCUUCGGGUGAAGCAUUUGUGACUGAGUGGCGGACGGGUGAGUAACGCGUGGGUAACCUGCCCUGUACAGGGGGAUAACAGUCAGAAAUGACUGCUAAUACCGCAUAAGCGCACAAAAGGACAUCCUUUGGUGUGAAAAACUCCGGUGGUACAGGAUGGGCCCGCGUCUGAUUAGCUGGUUGGCGGGGUAAAGGCCCACCAAGGCGACGAUCAGUAGCCGGUCUGAGAGGAUGAGCGGCCACAUUGGAACUGAGACACGGUCCAA
rnacentral:rRNA from 1 species